UCCUUUUUCAACUUUACUGGAUCUAUGGCAUCAAUGUUUUCCCUUCAUUUACAAUGUUUUUAUUUAACUAACGUUGACUGGCAACAAGCUAGUAAAAAAAUCCCCAGUGGUGAUCAGAGAAAGCAACAUCAACAAUAGAGGAUAUGUCAAUAGAAAGCCCCUUGGUAAUAACCAGGUCCAGAGUAUGGCUGUGGUUAUGGGUGGGCCCAGUAGAAAGCCCCUUGGUAAUAACCAGGUCCAGAGUAUGGCUGUGGUUAUGGGUGGGCCCAGGAGAAAGCCCCUUGGUAAUAACCAGGUCCAGAGUAUGGCUGUGGUUAUGGGUGGGCCCAGUAGAAAGCCCCUUGGUAAUAACCAGGUCCAGAGUAUGGCUGUGGUUAUGGGUGGGCCCAGUAGAAAGCCCCUUGGUAAUAACCAGGUCCAGAGUAUGGCUGUGGUUAUGGGUGGGUCCAGUAGAAAGCCCCUUGGUAAUAAACAGGUCUAUUUUAUGGCUGUGG
rnacentral:lncRNA from 1 species